CGUGUAGCCGAGGUCCGUAUACUGAAACGAACAAUCGUUUGCCUCGUUAUUGGUAUCAUUUCCAACACGCUCGAAUGACUUGGUAACGCGACACCGCGACACGGUGCAGCGGAUCGAUAAAAAUAAUCGUGCCGCAAGCAAAACUUGCACGGCCAUGGAUUUUUCAGUGGAAAUCCAGCCGGUUCUUCUGCUGGCUUCGCGUGUUUAAUUCGACGACUUGUUAGACCAACUGUGAAACCGAGCAACAAUUUUUAGCGGGCAUUCUACGUUUUAUAAAUAGGAGAAAAGGAAACACCGCGGAAAAUAGCGAAAUAGACGGAAAAAUAUAAUAUUAUUCGCGCAAACGAGAACAGACGAUCCGUGAUUGAAAUUCAAGAUUAAUGUAGACCAUUUCGUUUCAUAAAGCGAAAAACACGACGGCUCUGCCAGGUUGUGUUUAUGCAUGUGACUUCUCAAGAUUAUAACAUGUUUUAUAUAAUUUAUUGACACAAAUGACGACUAUCGCCGUCAUACAUAUUUAG